rnacentral:rRNA from 1 species
ACUCCUGCGGGAGGCAGCAGUGGGGAAUAUUGCACAAUGGGCGCAAGCCUGAUGCAGCCAUGCCGCGUGUAUGAAGAAGGCCUUCGGGUUGUAAAGUACUUUCAGCGGGGAGGAAGGCGAUAAGGUUAAUAACCUUGUCGAUUGACGUUACCCGCAGAAGAAGCACCGGCUAACUCCGUGCCAGCAGCCGCGGUAAUACGGAGGGUGCAAGCGUUAAUCGGAAUUACUGGGCGUAAAGCGCACGCAGGCGGUCUGUCAAGUCGGAUGUGAAAUCCCCGGGCUCAACCUGGGAACUGCAUUCGAAACUGGCAGGCUAGAGUCUUGUAGAGGGGGGUAGAAUUCCAGGUGUAGCGGUGAAAUGCGUAGAGAUCUGGAGGAAUACCGGUGGCGAAGGCGGCCCCCUGGACAAAGACUGACGCUCAGGUGCGAAAGCGUGGGGAGCAAACAGGAUUAGAAACCCGGGUAGUCCCAUG